GCUCAUUGCAAGACACCUUUUGGCAGAGGCCUUUCCCAGCAUGUUUUUCUGGUAGCUACUCCUUUACAUUGAGGAGAAAGAAGUGGCUGUAGCCCUAAAAUAGCCAUUUUGCAUCUGGGUGCGGCAGACUGCAUUAGCUUUCCUUCUAGCUGGGGAGAGACUUGAGUGUGGCCGUGAGUCCUUCCUGAGGAGGUUGGGAAAUCGAAACUAAGUGAAGGGAAACUGAGGCAGCAGAGAGCUUGAAGCCAGACCAGAAUGUACCACUCCCCGUCAUUAAGGGAAGUUUGCUCCUUGACCUGAGAAUACAGCUCAGAAGCAAGUGUCUUCCCCUGAGGUCUCAUGGGUGGAUCUGCCUGAAGUACCUUCCUGUGAUACAGCGAUAAGACAUCUGUCUUAUUGAAUAACAUCAAUCAAACCUUAACCAUGCCAUGUCAGAAAGUGUGGGUUGUGACUGACUCAUCAACACAUCUUGUGCAGAGUUUGCUUCUCCAGUCCCAAGGAGUGCCUAGAUCUGGGAUCUACAUCAGGACCCCUUGGUGCAAGGUGCUGUACACACAAACAGUUUCAUUAACUUUUCCAGCUAUGGGUAGGAAAAUGCUGCACGUUUCUGCUGUGCUUUUCAUCUCAGCAUCUUAAAGUGCCUGGCAAGCAUCAAUUACUCUGAGCCUCUGAUCGAGGAACAUACUGGGACAGACCAGGCUUCCCUCUCUUCUUGUCACCAGAAGCAGCCAGAUGUUCCAACAGAAGGUGAAUCCUGCCCUCCCAUGAUUGUGAAAUUGGGGUAUUGCUUCAGGAUCCUAGCAGAGGGCUCCUCUGAGGACCUGGGUCACCAACUCGGCAUUUGGAUAGCUUGCAUAAAAGCCUUCAAAUGAAUGCCUCGUUUUCCUCACAGUGGUGUGACAGCAGGCAUAGCUGAGCUUCAAGAGUCUCCUGUGAACCGCGGGAUUUGAACCUGUGACUUUCAGCAUCCAGCGCACAGGCUUCUACCUUAUGAGCCAAAAAGAGUUUCCACUUAACAUUCAAAAUGUUGGGCAUUUAAAAUAGCCUUCGGAAAAAACCAUGAAAACCUAAGCAGCGUUUAUACAAAUAGUUGGAAAAAGUUGUCAAGCCAUUUUCCAACAACAACAACAACAACAUGUUCUGAGGGAAAGUGUUCUACCUGCUUCACAAGGUGAGUUUUACUGGUUGAAAUAGCUGCUUUGCACUAGGUAUGUAAAGGGACCACAGCUCCAGGGCAGCUAUACUAGUAGCUUUAACUGGAGCAAAUCCCCAGUGUAGACACGCCACUGUGUAGUGUACUUGAUACCCAAACUCCGGUGAACUUCCUGUUCUAAUGUCCCUUUCCUAAUGGUGCAUCUCGAAAAGUACCUCUCACAAAGUGCUGAGCACCUGCACCUGGUAAAAAUCAAGCCCUUGCUACUUGAGCACCUGUAAUUCCCACUGGAAAGCAUUCAGCGCCUUGCACGAUUGGAUUCCAGUAUACCUGAUUAGUGUUAAGAAUGAACUACAAUGUUGCACCUAGCUUGAAUGGGACUGCAUAAUUCAGUGUGUGUGUGUGUGUGUGUGUAUAUAUAUAUAUAUAUAAUCACUGUCAGCAACCUUUUUUGCAGCUUACAAUUUUACGACAGCACUUUUGGGCUACAUUUAAUGAAGACAGCAAUUCUGGAAAUGCUGCCACUGCAUCUGGUUUUAAUAUAUUAGCAGCAAGUCAUUGUUUAAAGGCUUUGUGGUUAAAAAGUUCUAUUGCUUUAUAUUUUGCAAAAAGAGAUGUCCCUCCUGUUAGCCUUUUACAGAACUUGAUUAGCUUCUUAACUACGAACCAGAGUCAGCCACCCACCAGAAGUAGUUUCUAACUGGGUAGAUUUUUGGAAUGUGCGUGUGGAAUCAGCCCCGCCGCUCACAUGACACAACACAAGGUUGCUUUUUUUGGCGUACAGAACCCAAGACAGACUACUGUUCAGAAAAGCUGCUCUAGCCUUCAGCUAGGAGUGCAAAAAAAAAAAAAUCAACUUGUAAGCCUCAGUUCAGAGCCUCUUUUACAGAAGAGCAUAGUAGGAAAUGCAGGCUUGCAGGCCGUGCAUUUCAAGUGCCUCGCAACAGGCACAGUGAUGCAUGUGUUUGGAUUUGAGGAGUUUCAUUUUUUUGGAUUGCCAGCUACCUUUAGGCAUACUAAACAUGGCUCUAUUUUCCAUGUCGUGCCUCAGAAGUGACCCUUCUGAAGUCUGCAGCUGUGAUAUUUAAGAGUUGUUCUGUCAGCCAUUUUGACAAUUCCCAGAUUAGCUUUUUAACAGUACUCCUGCCUUGGAUGCAAGCUAAGUACCAUGGUAACCCCUGAAGAUAGCUUGGGCAGUCAGAAUCCAGCUGAUCGGCCACCGUGAGGAAUGUGUACUUUUGAACAUGAUAGAGAUACUGUUUCCAGGGGGAAAAAUAAAGCUAAGCUUCCUCUGAGCACUGUUGCACAGGAUAUUGGACUAGAUGGACCAUUGGUCUGAUGUGAUGCAUCACAGAAGCUAGUGAUUGGGAACUGCCUAGUGAAACCUCUCUUCUUCCUAGUGUCAGGUUUUGCUCAGGAAACAUCCACAUACCUGUUUGAGAAGUGAUUUGGAAACUGGACAACUUCAGUGAUUGCUUCAGGAUUACGCUUUGCAAUGCUACACAUGUCCAGUUUGCUGUAACAUUCCUCCUGCACCUCCGAGAUCAUUCUUUGGAAAGUGGAGCACCUCCGAAUGGCAAGGAAAACCUUGGACGUAACUCCGUUUGCAAUGCAUUUCAGGCUCUCUUUCACAAAGGCUUUUCCCUGCAAAUUUAGAAGUAGCCUCAUCUUAAUGUGCAACUGCAUAAGUUGUUCACAAAAUGUUAACACAUAAAUAGCAGCAAUUAGCAAAAGCAGGGUAUCCUUGCUGUGUCAAAAGCUUACUCAGCAAUAAAGAAACCCAUUUACAGUCAA